GACGGAGGAUGCAAGCGUUAUCCGGAAUGAUUGGGCGUAAAGCGUCUGUAGGUGGUUUAUUAAGUCUGCUGUUAAAGCACAGGGCUCAACCCUGUAUAGGCGGUAGAAACUGGUAGGCUUGAGUAUGGUAGGGGUAGAGGGAAUUCCCGAUGUAGUGGUGAAAUGCGUUGAUAUCGGGAAGAACACCAAAGGCGAAAGCACUCUGCUGGGCCAAUACUGACACUGAGAGACGAAAGCUAGGGGAGCAAAU
rnacentral:rRNA from 1 species